GUUCCGCCUCUUGCUUGCUAUUGGUCGUUAGAUGUUUUGGUCAGCUAUGGAGCAUGCGCACUGGGAGGGAUGUCCGGAAUGAAAUGGUCCUCCAUGGGAGCCACAAGCGGGAAUUGGAAAGGAAGCAUUUACUGACAGGCUGCUCAACUCAAACACUGGAUCAAGAACUGUCAGGAUCACUUCAUUCUCAGGAGCUUUGAACAUGGAAGGAACAAGCAUCGUUUACAGUGAAGAGAAACCAUACACGUGGUCUGUGUGGACAAGCCUUCAGUCAAUUGUCUGGCCUGUCAGUACGUCAGUGCAGUCAAAACUGGGUGACAACCAUAACAUCAAACAGCUCUUGCUUUAUAAUAUCAUGGUCAUGGAUCUCAGUUUGAGUGAAGCAAGGGCCACUCAUCUCCUGUCCUCCCUACAUUUUUGGUGAAAACAUGGACCAAACAGCUGAAUUCCAAAUGUGAGAGGGACUAUCCACUAUCCUAAGGCUCCAUUUGACAGAGCAUUGUAUUAAGGAAUCAUGACAAAUCUAAAUUCAAUAGGAACCAGAGAAUAUUAUUCUUCCUUGGAUAGCUGGUUUUUGAAAAGAUUGCAUCUUCAGACCUCAGUAAAUCGAAACAAGGUGAAUUUAUUCAAAUUUGUGCCACAUACAUGUGGAAGAGGUCUGUAAGUUUAGCUCUGAGACACUACGCCUUUUACAGCUCAAAACAGCAUAUGCAGGCAUUUUCAUGUAAGAAUGGUUGCAUGUGACAUUGAUAUAAAAUAAAUUAUAUGUCAGUUACUACAAAAA